rnacentral:rRNA from 1 species
AUGCUCAAAUGCAAACAUACUAUCACUCCGAUGUCUACCACUGAUCGGUUGUCUGCUCUUAAUGGAGACUCUCUCUCGUCUGAUGAUGCUACUGAGUAUCGCAGUCUCGUUGGUGUCCUGCAAUACCUUACUAUUACCAGAUCUGAUAUCUCCUAUGCAGUCAACCGUGUGUGUCAAUUUUUGCAUGCACCCAGGACAUCUCAUUGGUCGGUUGUGAAGCGUAUUUUGUGUUAUGUCUGUCUUACUGCCUCCUAUGGUUUGCUUCUUCAGCCUGCACCGUCGUGUGAGCUCUCAGCUUUUUCAAAUGCAGAUUGGGCUGGAAGUCCUGAUGACAGGCGGUCCACGGGGGGUUAUGCGGUAUUUCUGGGUUUUAACUUGAUUGCCUGGAAUGCUCACAAGUAA